GGCUAAAUACCAAAUACUCCGCACAUAUCACAUGAUGUAUGCGGGAAAGCUUUUGCGGUAAGAGAUGGGUCGCGGCCCAUUAGGUAGACGGCGGGGUAGAAGCCCACCGUGCCGAUGAUGGGUAGCCGGGUUGAGAGACCGACCGGCCACAUUGGGACUGAGAUACGGCCCAGACUCCUACGGGAGGCAGCAGUGGGGAAUAUUGCGCAAUGGGGGAAACCCUGACGCAGCAACGCCGCGUGCGGGAUGAAGGCCUUCGGGUUGUAAACCGCUUUCAGCAGGGAAGACAUCGACGGUACCUGCAGAAGAAGCCCCGGGCUAACUACGUGCCAGCAGCCGCGGUAAAU
rnacentral:rRNA from 1 species